GUAAGGAAUAUUGGACAAUGGGCGAAAGCCUGAUCCAGCCAUGCCGCGUGAGUGAUGAAGGCCUUAGGGUUGUAAAGCUCUUUCAGUAGGGAAGAUAAUGACGGUACCUACAGAAGAAGCCCCGGCUAACUUCGUGCCAGCAGCCGCGGUAAUACGAAGGGGGCUAGCGUUGUUCGGAUUUACUGGGCGUAAAGCGCACGUAGGCGGAUUGGUCAGUUAGGGGUGAAAUCCCAGAGCUCAACUCUGGAACUGCCCUUAAUACUGCCAAUCUAGAGUCCGGAAGAGGUGAGUGGAACUCCUAGUGUAGAGGUGGAAUUCGUAGAUAUUAGGAAGAACACCAGUGGCGAAGGCGGCUCACUGGUCCGGUACUGACGCUGAGGUGCGAAAGCGUGGGGAGCAAACAGGAUUAGAAACCCGGGUAGUCC
rnacentral:rRNA from 1 species